UUGCACUUGAGCUCAGUCAGUAGAGCAUGAGACUCUUACUCUCAGUGUUGUGGGUACAAACCCCAUAUUGCACA